GCCAGGUGUGGUGGUGUGCACCUGUAGUCCCAGCUACCUGGGAGGCUGAGAUAGGAGGAUUGCUUGAGCCCAGGAGUUUGAGGCUGUAGUGAGCUAUGAUCAUGCCACUGCACUCCAGCCUGGGCAACAGAGCAAGACCUUUUCUCAA
rnacentral:SRP_RNA from 1 species